AUUGAACGCUGGCGGCAGGCCUAACACAUGCAAGUCGAACGAGUGGCGGACGGGUGAGUAAUGUCUGGGAAACUGCCCGAUGGAGGGGGAUAACUACUGGAAACGGUAGCUAAUACCGCAUACCAUCGGAUGUGCCCAGAUGGGAUUAGCUAGUAGGUGGGGUAACGGCUCACCUAGGCGACGAUCCCUCGAUGGUCUGAGAGGAUGACCAGCCACACUGGAACUGAGACACGGACCAGAAUCCUACGGGAGGCAGCAUUGGGGAAUAUUGCACAAUGGGCGCAAGCCUGAUACAGCCAUGCCAAGUAUAUGAAGAAGGCCUUCGGGUUGUAAAGUACUUUCAGCGGAGAGGCGUUACCCGCAGAAGAAGCACCGGCUAACUCCGUGCCAGCAGCCGCGGUAAUUC
rnacentral:rRNA from 1 species